CGCCCGGCUCCUUCCGGGUCGUAGCCGUGCCGGGAGGGCGGUUGCUGUGGAAGCCGCGGCUAUGGCGGCACCUGCUCCGGUGAGCAGUCGCACCGCCCAGCGCGACGAGCCUCCCGGCUCCACAGAGUCGUCGGAUACCGCCCGGACGCCAUUGCCCACCGUGUCCACCCUGUACCCCGAGCUACCUGUCUCGCCGGCACAGGGCGUGGAGCCUCCGGGCAAGAGCCUGUGGGAGCAGAUCUGCGAGGAGUAUGAAGCUGAGCUGCCUCCCUUUCCAGAGGGAUAUAAAGUCAAACAAGAAGCAAUGAUUACUGUUUCACCAUUAGAGGAAGCAGUUCUCCAUGGCUUCAAUACAGAGCACCUUUAUUCAGUUCCUCAUUUGACCAUGGACUCGCAUGUACCCUGUCCUCAAGUUCAGUUGGAAACAAUCGAUCCAAAAACAUGUUCCCCCAAGGAAUAUUUAGAAACAUUCAUCUUUCCAGUUCUGCUUCCUGGAAUGGCUAGCCUGCUUCACCAAGCAAAGAAAGAAAAAUGUUUCGAGAGAAAAAGAACCAAAUUCAUUGCCUGUAAUUUUCUGACCGAGUGGUUAUACAAUCAAAAUCCAAAGAGGAUAGGGGAGUCUUUCACAGAAUUCUUCUCCAUUCCAUUUGUGGAGCAGUGGCUGAAGCAUCACCCACGGCCGCCGAUCCCACUCUCCCUCCUGCUGACAGAAGAAGAGGCAGCGCUGAGCAUUCAAUCCUUCUGGAGAGCCUAUCUGGUUCGGUGUGAUCCUGAGAUUCAAGAGUUGCGUCAGUGGCAAAAGAAACUGCGUGAAGACAAGCACAUUCGCCAGCGAGUCAAGAUUUUCUGGGCCAAACAAGAACAGAAAGGGAGAAAGCAAGAUAUAAAUACAUUCAGAAAGAAAACUGGCAGCUGCCUUGUUUACAACACAGAGGUUGUGAAUCUCACAUGAAAUCGUAUAUAUGAAAGAACGUGAAACUCUGAGAAGCUUGCUCCAGGGGGAGUUGUCAUUGGGGUGUAUCCAGCUCUUGCAGAGUGAAAUGCAAAAUGGAGGAUGAGGAGGAGGUUGUACCUAAGACUCCACCAUCUUAACCACCGGUGGGACCUUUCCCAAUUGGAGCUUCCAUGACCCUACAUGAGGAAAAUGUACAAAUUAUGCUUCCUCUCUUGAUUUUUUAAAGGAUAGAUUUGGUGCCUGUGAAUAUGGAAUUUUUUCUACACGAGAUAGGAUUUGUGGCAAACAUGCUUUAGUGCGUAUAAUUUAUCACAGGAGAGCACUCAUCUUACUUCCUGCAUUAUCUCCAGAUUUUAUUCUUUUAUCCAGUAUUAUUUCUUCAGUACUUCAGGAAUAUUCUUCUACACUAAGUGUCAUUACAAUGUACAGUGAGCUCUAGUUCCAAGAGAUGGUGAAGUGCUAAUUUAGGUACCAGUUUCCCAUCUCUGGCUGCCUUUGGAAAGAUGGAUACUUAAAUUUAAGUCCCAAACUUCUGCAGUGGGUUUUAUCUGGUGAGUAUUCUUUUCAUAAAAAAGGCAUAUUGGCUACGACCAUUUCCAAAGGAGAUGGACUCUUAACUCUGAUUUCUGAUUGCAAAUCCAACAAGUUGAGACACUUAAGCCCAGACAACAAUAACAGACAAAGGACUUUGGUUGUCAAGUCCCCAAAGUAUUAUGGAAAGCCCCCCAUUUGAUGGAAAAGCUAACUUAUUACCCUCAUUUGUUCUGUGGUUUGCUGUUAACCAGGGCUAUCCCGUUCAAAAUGCCACAGACUUAGCCUCCAGGCAGAUCCAAAAGCCAAGUAGUUACGCUGGGUUGUUUUGACAAGCUACCACACAUCUUAAGUAAAUAGUAAAGCCUUUAUUUUUGUGUUAAGAACAGCAUUUUGAAAAUAAAACCUAUCUGCCCAUGCUUUACAACCUUUAAAUUUGUAAUAUUUAUAUACAGUCAUUUAUGGUACACAUUGAUUGUCUUGAAAUUUCUUUAACGAUUUUUUUAAUAAGUAUGCAACAGUCAGCCAGGGGAGAAUAAAGGUACAUUAUAAAACACACAUUAAUACAUUUAAUAAAUAUAUAUUAUCUAUCAAAAACGAGCUUUAGCUCUUCAUCAAUUAAUAAAAAGCACCUGCUGAGAA